GACGUAGGGCGCGAGCGUUGUCCGGAUUUAUUGGGCGUAAAGAGCUCGUAGGCGGCUUGUCGCGUCAACUGUGAAAACCCGUGGCUCAACCAUGUGGUCUGCAGUCGAUACGGGCAGGCUAGAAUUCGGUAGGGGAGACUGGAAUUCCUGGUGUAGCGGUGAAAUGCGUAGAUAUCGAGAAGAACACCGGUGGCGAAGGCGCCUUCCUGGCCUGCAACUGACGCUGAUACGCGAAAGCGUGGGGAGCAAACCGG
rnacentral:rRNA from 1 species